rnacentral:misc_RNA from 1 species
GAAAUGCGAUAAGUAGUGUGAAUUGCAGAAUUCAGUGAAUCAUCGAAUCUUUGAACGCACAUUGCGCCCCUUGGUAUUCCAUGGGGCAUGCCUGUUCGAGCGUCAUCUACACCCUCAAGCUCUGCUUGGUGUUGGGCGUCUUUGUCCCGCCUCCGCGCGCGGACUCGCCCCAAAUUCCUUGGCAGCGGUCCUUGCCUCCUCUCGCGCAGCACAUUGCGCUUCUCGAGGUGUUGCGGCCCGCGUCCAGAAAGCAAUCGUUACCGUCUUUGACCUCGGAUCAGGUAGGGAUACCCGCUGAACUUAAGC